rnacentral:lncRNA from 1 species
UAGUUGAUUUGGUCUUUGAACAUUUAUUUCUUCCAAGGAAGUAGUUGUCCUUGAAUCCGCUUUCCUUAAGAACAUUUUGGGUAGUUAUAAGUGAUGGGACCCCCAUUAGAAAACCAUGUCAAUCCCAUAGGUCUUUAGCAACAUUCCAGUGGUCUUUUUAAGGGAGGAGGGGUUUACUCAUAAAAAUAUAUAAUCGAAAUACAGAAGGUAUCUCAAAUGUCACCUUUAAACAUAUAUGCAAAUGAGGUGGCCUUAGUGAUAAAACCGUAUUGCACAAAUGGUGUUUGUUUAUAUUUCACACUUCAUUACACAAAUAAAAUUUAGAUUAACAUUUUCUUUUUAAGCUCUUAUAUCAAAGAAAAAUUGGCAAUAGGGAUAAUUAACUCAAAACUUCACACUAGAAAAUAAUUUCUGGUAUAAAAUAUUUUCAGUGAAAAAGUUAGCCAGAAUUUCAUGUUUUGCUGUAAAAUAAGUGAAACAUCACAGUUCUUUGCUGCAGGGCAUGUGUCGGAAUAUGAAGCGUUAGCCAAGGGAAGAAGCAAAUUCCUGUUCCUUGUUUUGUGUCAAGAUUCUGUAAUUUGUGUGCACUUAGGCCAAAACUUAUUACUUGAGUUUUUUGAUAAUUAGUCAGAAAAUAAUAUACUAAUUAUGAAAGAACUUAGCUUUUCUAUGAAGUCAGUGA